AAAGCUCUGAUGCCAUUAAAAGUCUACUUCUAUUGAAAGCUCUACUGCUAGUAAAACUCGACGAAGUACAGUUUCAUACUUGUCACUACUAUCCUCAGUAAUAGAAAUCAGUGAAGAUGCUUUGGUUAGAUGCUAUUCUUCCAUUAGGAAUUAUCGAUUUGGGUUUGAUGUUGAAGUUGUUUCUUACAAGUUUUCUUAUUUUCUUCAUGUCCGGGAAGGAGAGAAAGAGAUUCUUAACUGUAAAAGAGAUUAGAGGAUCAGAGUAAGAGAUACAAAAGAAGGUGCUAUUAGAGAAAGCUAAGGAAUUUGAGUGAUUCCAGAUUCGGGUGAUAUCCAACUGAGUGUGGACGUCUAUUCUUCUACAAAUUUCAUGCUUGCGAACUAUAGUUAUGAGGCAGUGGGGAAUGUUGAUUCAUUUAUUCUUCUGAAUCAUCGGCUGGGGUUAUGAGAAAGUAGAGUCGUUAACGUUUAGGACGAAAAGGAUCAUGAUCAAAUAGGAAAGAAAGUUCGUGUAAUGCUAAGAAAGUUGAAGCCAAAGAAAGAAGUCACUGCAACUAAACGUAUAAAUUACCAGUUUUCGUAGCCCCAGCUGAGCCAAGUUGGUGUUGCUGUAACUACCAACUAACGGAACAAAUCACUUGCUCUGGGUGUGGUGGAUCCGCAGUUUCUUCCUCCUUGUGAUGUUGUUCUGCUAUGUGAAGAAUGUUAAUCUCUAAUAAAAAGUCAUGAUAAAUUACAACUUCUCAGUAAUGGGAGGGAAUAACUUAAAUACAACUCUAAAGAUUGUAGGUAUUGGAUAUAACACAAGCGGCCAUAUCUUGAGAAGUGUGCAAGUUGAAUGUCACAGGCUUAGCUGUCAAAACAAGCAUGUAUGUAAGUCUACCCUUUUGUGAACUUCUUAGUAAUUGGACUCCCUCUCAUGACAUGAACUACAGUCUCGCAAGGUUUAAUAUGUUAACUCCUUCUCAUCUUUCUCAUCUAAUCUCAAAAGUAUUCCUAUAGAUAGUACAUGUUUGAUAUCCAUUUUAAGCAAGGACUGGAGCUUAUGUUGUACUUGGCUACAUAAUUCAUUAUGCCAUGCUAGUGCUUUAAAAGGUUUGUUGUUUAUCUGAAUUAGUUGCAUAGUAAAAGAUAUUAGAGAACGAUAUGGUAUACACUUGGUUAAGUUGUGUUCCUUUCUGAAUCACAUAACUGAACACUUGAUGAAAUUAUUGCAUCAACAUGCAGGACUUGUACUUGAGCAGAUUAGAACCACGCCCUCCAAGUGACGCUAAUUACUUCCAUGAUGUGUGCAAUUGGCAUUAGCACAUCUCAGGCACCAUCGAGGUACAUCAAUUGUUAUCAGAUUGUUUCAUCAAACAACAUGCACGUUGAGAAGCAGUUCCAGAAGUUGUAUGUAGAAGUCAACUUUUACUCGUGAUAAUUUGGUUUGGUUCAACCUAUGGUUCUUCAUCUUCUAAAUUUUAUUCUAUUCCAGGCUGUAGCUGAGAGUUUACUGUAAUGGAGGGGGUCUGUGGUACCAGUGAUUGGAGUUUGAAGAAUAUCGCCGAGAUGAUUAGUUCAGUUCUGGAAACAGACUAGCUCAACUACUGAGCUUCACUCAUCAGAAAUCCCAACACUUACUCGAGUCGCAUUGGUCUCUAGUAUCUUUCAGGUUCUUCAUCAUCUUGGUCGUAUUUACAAGACGAGAGUUCAGCAUCCUCGUGUGAUCAUCCUCUCAAAGCCACAAUAAUCUGUUUCAUUCUGAUUACUCACUGUAAGAGAUUGUAACAUUCUGUUUCUAUAUGCAAUCUUUAGAAGCUAAAACAAACAUAGUUGCACCAGCACAAUGUAAGAAACAAGAACAUUUUUACAUAUGCAAUUCAAUCUUUC